rnacentral:rRNA from 1 species
AGGGCGCGAGCGUUGUCCGGAAUUAUUGGGCGUAAAGGGCUCGUAGGCGGUUUGUCGCGUCUAGCGUUUAAGGCUCGGGCUUAACCCGGGUUUGCGUUGGGUACGGGCAGGCUUGAGUGCGGUAGGGGUAACUGGAAUUCCUGGUGUAGCGGUGGAAUGCGCAGAUAUCAGGAGGAACACCGGUGGCGAAGGCGGGUUACUGGGCCGUUACUGACGCUGAGGAGCGAGAGCGUGGGGAGCGAACAGGAUUAGAUACCCUGGUAGUCAAGGGCG